rnacentral:rRNA from 1 species
AGCGGAGGAAAAGAAACCAACCGGGAUUGCCUUAGUAACGGCGAGUGAAGCGGCAAAAGCUCAAAUUUGAAAUCUGGUACCUUCGGUGCCCGAGUUGUAAUUUGGAGAGGGCAACUUUGGGGCCGUUCCUUGUCUAUGUUCCUUGGAACAGGACGUCAUAGAGGGUGAGAAUCCCGUGUGGCGAGGAGUGCGGUUCUUUGUAAAGUGCCUUCGAAGAGUCGAGUUGUUUGGGAAUGCAGCUCUAAGUGGGUGGUAAAUUCCAUCUAAAGCUAAAUAUUGGCGAGAGACCGAUAGCGAACAAGUACAGUGAUGGAAAGAUGAAAAGAACUUUGAAAAGAGAGUGAAAAAGUACGUGAAAUUGUUGAAAGGGAAGGGCAUUUGAUCAGACAUGGUGUUUUGUGCCCUCUGCUCCUUGUGGGUAGGGGAAUCUCGCAUUUCACUGGGCCAGCAUCAGUUUUGGUGGCAGGAUAAAUCCAUAGGAAUGUAGCUUGCCUCGGUAAGUAUUAUAGCCUGUGGGAAUACUGCCAGCUGGGACUGAGGACUGCGACGUAAGUCAAGGAUGC